UGAGGAACAUGACUUUCGGCGGGGGAGUAGCCGGGCCCAACGGCCGGGUAAUACCGCGUACGACCUCUCGGGGACAUCCCCGGUUGGUGAAAGCAGCAAUGCACCGAAAGAGUGCCUCGCGGCCUAUCAGCUUGUUGGUGGGGUGAUGGCUUACCAAGGCGACGACGGGUAGCCGGCCUGAGAGGGCGACCGGCCACACUGGGACUGAGACACGGCCCAGACUCCUACGGGGAGGCAG
rnacentral:rRNA from 1 species